CUCGAAUUUAAAAGAUCUAAUUUAAAUUAAAUUUUAUUGUUGAAUAAAUAUUUAAAAAUUUAAAUUUGAUACGAGAAGUAAUUCGUUUUUAAAUAUAUCUAGUUUUUUAAGAAAAAAAUUUAAUUUUAUAAUUAUUUAGCAAUAAAAUUAAAUUUUUAAUUUAUUGUUGAUAAUUAAAUAUUUCUUAAGGGAAAAGCUUUAAGAAAAAUUUCUAUAAUUAUUUAAAUUAUUUUAGUAUAUAGGAUUAGAAAUUUCCUAUUUUAUGAGUAUGUUAUAAUUCUCUAAAUUAUAAGAAUGAUUUAUAUAAAUUUUAGGUUUUAUAUUAAAAUAUAAAUUUAAAUUAUUUAGAUUUAGAAAUAAUGAUAAAAUUAGUAUAUUAAUAUAAAUUUAGUUAAUGAAUUGUAAGUUUUUGAAAAGGAAUUCGGCAAAGAAUUUUUUACCUGUUUAUUAAAAACAUGGCCUUUAGUUUAUAAUUUAAGGUCUAGCCUGCCCACUGAAAAUUUAAAUGGCCGCGGUAUUUUGACCGUGCAAAGGUAGCAUAAUCAAUAGUUUUUUAAUUGAAAGCUGGAAUGAAAGGUUGGAUAAGAAAAUAACUGUCUCUUUAGAAGUUAAUAGAAAUUUAUUUUUAAGUUAAAAAGCUUAAAUGAAAUUUAAAGACGAGAAGACCCUAUAGAGUUUAACAUUUAAUAUUAAUUUAAUUAUUGGAAUUUUAUUAUUAGGUUUGUAUUAAAUGUUUGGUUGGGGUGAUUAAAAAAUUUAAAUAACUUUUUAUUAUUGAAACAUUGAUUUAUGAGUAUUUGAUCCAAUAAUUUUGAUUAAAAGAACAAAUUACCUUAGGGAUAACAGCGUAAUUAUUCUAGAGAGUUCAAAUUGAAAGAAUAGAUUGCGACCUCGAUGUUGGAUUAAAAUAAAAUUGUUGUGCAGAAGCAACAAGAUUAAGUCUGUUCGACUUUUAAAAUUUUACAUGAUCUGAGUUUAAACCGGUGUGAGCCAGGUUGGUUUCUAUCUUGAAUAAACAAAUAAAUUUUAGUACGAAAGGACCAAAUUUA
rnacentral:rRNA from 1 species